GAUGAACGCUGGCGGCGUGCCUAAUACAUGCAAGUCGAGCGAACAGACGAGGAGCUUGCUCCUCUGACGUUAGCGGCGGACGGGUGAGUAACACGUGGAUAACCUACCUAUAAGACUGGGAUAACUUCGGGAAACCGGAGCUAAUACCGGAUAACAUGUUGAACCGCAUGGUUCAACAGUGAAAGACGGUCUUGCUGUCACUUAUAGAUGGAUCCGCGCCGCAUUAGCUAGUUGGUAAGUUAACGGCUUAACAAGGCAACGAUGCGUAGCCGACCUGAGAGGGUGAUCGGCCACACGGGAACUGAGACACGGUCCAGGCUCCUACGGGAGGCAGCAGUAUCGAAUCUUCCGCAGUGGGCGAAAGCCUGACGGAGCAACGCCGCGUGUGUGAUGAAGGUCUUCGGAUCGUAAAACUCUGUUAUUAGUGAAGAACAAAUGUGUAAGUAACUAUGCACGUCUUGACGGUACCGAGUCAGAAAGCCCCGGCUAACUACGUG
rnacentral:rRNA from 1 species